AACGAACGCUGGCGGCAGGCCUAACACAUGCAAGUCGAACGCCCCGCAAGGGGAGUUGCAGACGGGUGAGUAACGCGUGGGAACAUACCCUUUUCUACGGAAUAGCUCUGGGAAACUGGAAUUAAUACCGUAUACGCCCUACGGGGGAAAGAUUUAUCGGGGAAGGAUUGGCCCGCGUUGGAUUAGCUAGUUGGUGGUGUAAAGGCCUACCAAGGCGACGAUCCAUAGCUGGUCUGAGAGGAUGAUCAGCCACAUUGGGACUGAGACACGGCCCAAACUCCUACGGGAGGCAGCAGUGGGGAAUAUUGGACAAUGGGCGCAAGCCUGAUCCAGCCAUGCCGCGUGAGUGAUGAAGGCCUUAGGGUUGUAAAGCUCUUUCACCGAUGAAGAUAAUGACGGUAGUCGGAGAAGAAGCCCCGGCUAACUUCGUGCCAGCCGCCGCAGUAACAC
rnacentral:rRNA from 1 species